GAGGGCAUGUGUGGAGAGAGGGUGAUCCUAUAACGGGUGUCUCACCCUUGGGGCUGCCGACCUUGGGGCCAGAUCAUUGUCUGUUGUGGGGCCGUCCUGUACAUUGCAGGCAACCUCUGGACUCCACCCACGAGAUGUCAGUAGCACACACGCCAGUCGUGACAACCACAAAUAUCUCCAGACAUUGCGAAAUGUCCCUUGGAGGCAAAGUUGUGCCCACUUGACCCCUGUCUGAAAACAACCUGGCCAUGUUGCUGUGCUAUGUCAUUGCUUCCUGCGGAAACUGGAGCUUUGUUCUCAGGCUUGUAGCUCUGAGAAAGGGAUUUUCUAGAUUGACAAAGAAGUGACCUACUCCCAGUGAAUGACUUGUAACUCACAAGGGAUUGGUCUGUUACUGAGCAACUCAAUUUGUUGCUUCACCAAGUGCAAAACUCAGAAGCCAAAGGGGAUGAAGCUGCCAUCUGUGGGAUUAAGAUCAGAUGUCUUGAUUCGGAUCCUCCAAGCAUAAUGAUGUGUUGUUGCCAUAGCAAUUCUGCUCAAGAGCCCUUUGGACAGAAGGUGAGAACCAUUGCUGCUGAGGGAACAACGUUCUCAUGCCAGUUGGCGAGGGCUGGCUGCUCCCAGAGGAAGACUGGUUGUAAUUAGAAGAGAAAGUUGCUUGUUGAACGGCCAACCAGAACUAAGGCAGGCGGAUGGUUUUAAGGGAAAAAUCCUAUUAAGUCAGGUCAGCCCAUAUCUUUAGAGUCAACAUGUUCAACUUUAGUGGUAAAUUCACCGUAAUUAUAUUAAAAAUGGGCUGCUUAACCUCUUUUAGCCUAUAAGUUGGACAUAAUUUUAUUUAGUUCACAGGGUUGUGAUGGGAAUUUAAUAAGAUAAUACGCUUGGUAAAUUCUCAAUAAAUAUUAACUCUAUUAAUGUAACUAAUAUCAAUAAUGGGUAUAAUUAAUGAUUAAUACUAUGUUAAUAACAGUAUGACAUCCUUCUGUACAUUAGGCAGGUGUGUAAUAGUUUGUCUGCUCACAAUGGGGAAACUGAGGCUCAGAGAGUCAAACGUUUUGCUCACGUUCACCUGAAUAGUCACCAUCCGGAUUUCAACAUAUGUCUUCUGAUUCUAAGCUCAGAGAGGUUCUUUCUACGGCACCACUCUGAACUUGAGACAAAGGAAUACUCAUAUGAACCAAUCAGAACAGUGGUUCCCUAACUUGGAAUCCUGGAUGCUUGUUAAGAAUCAACACUUCUCAGCCCCCUCCAGACUUGGUGAGUGAGCCUCCGGGGGUGUGACCUGGUGUCCGUGUUGUCAGCACUCCUCACCCACCCACCCACCACGACUCUUAUCCAGCCAGCCUGGCAUGUGGGGCUGGUGUUUGUAACCCAGGACCCAGCACUCUACUCCGCCCCACUUGGCAGGACACAGACACCCACAGUCCUUCCUACUGGGGCUUAUCUCUUUACUUCUUCUAAUUUUUAUGGCUUCUGCUUGUUGACAAUUUGCCUUUCCCAAUUCCUUGACCCUGGAUUGGAAUUUUCAGAUGAUUCUCAUGUGUUUAGGUGUCCCUAGGAAUUGCUGAUGGAUGUGGGGUGAGGGAAAGAGAUAAUUGCAUAUAUUUCCAAACAUUUUUUCAUCUAAUUAAAAUAACCUAUUUUUCUAAUUCUCUUCAAAGUUUGUAUACCUUUGUAACAGGAAUCCCAAGACAUGAGCUUUCAGUAGAACACUCCAACUGUGAAGGGUGCAGAUGUCAGCGUCAAGCCCUCUUUGAAGAAGCCCCUUGUUAAGGACUUUAGAUAUAAUCACCUAAUUAUCUUUCUUUUAAGGCUCCUUUGAAUAAGCCAUCAUCUCUGGGCAACGUAUUAGACUCUUGUAACCCGUCUCUUUCUGUGACACCUGGUUUCUAUGAAACCGUGACAGCUGCUUAGGCUGUGGGCACUUCGCACAAGUACCAGAGCUAAGUGAUUGCACUCUUGAUUGCUAAAGUGCUCUAACUCACUUCAAACCUCUGCUGGCUGCAUUUACAGUAGAGACCAGCAAGGGGGAUUAAUUAUAUUAAAUCUAUGCAGCCUAUCAUUUCUUAGUCUAUUUAUUUUAAUAUAGUGUUCCGUGUGUGGUUAAAAAAAAAAUCCUUGUUUUCAGUUUGAAAGCAACGGGACAUGAAAGAAACAACAAGCACUUAAGACUCUGACAAGACCUUUAGCUUCUCCUCUUUCACUAGCAGGCAUCAGCCAGCGAUCAUUAUUAACAUCUACCAUCAGUUCCAUGUUUGGCUAGAAACCACAGAGGAGGGCUCUGUUAAAUGAAAUUCAAAAUUUGUAAAAUCCUCCUGAGUCGUCUGUAGGGAGCUAAGUGUGGAAGCUGAUGGACCAGCUAGAGAGUGAUUACAAUAAACCAGACCAGGGACGACGGUGGCUUGGCCCGGGGUCAGCCACGGUGGAGUCUGGUCCACAAGGGACCUAGAGAUACUCAAAUCAACCCAAGGUAAAGUACUAAGAGUGGAAAUCCAAGCUAAAUACUUUCAAAGUGAAAAAAGAAUCUAGUCAGUUGAGUUACUGUCUGUCAUUAAUUAUUUGUAUAAAAGGCAAUAAUUGCUAAGGUAAUUCAUUGUCUAUUUGGAGAUAAUGUACCAAAAGGGAGAUGCUUAACAGAUGGCCAUGUUAAGAAAUUCCUGGCUUUUGAAUCUGUUUGGAUAUAUUAGGAAUGAACAAACACCAUACAAGUUCUGCACAUGGUGACGUGUCAGAUGACACUCAGCUGUCACUUAGAAGAACAAUGCCGUCUAUAGAACAAGGUGUGUGCAGAUAGCAAUCUCUUCUGAUUUCCUAGGAAUCCAGAUAUUCUUCAACUGGUCAUAACUUUACAACAUGUAGACUAUUGAUAAUAAGUUUUGGGGGGACAUUUUUCUGUCAAAAAUCCUACAUUUUUCAUGGUGCCACUGUGCAUAAAUCUAGAAUCUUUAGCUCGUUAUUUGUGUCUGUAUGUCCACCAGCAUGAAAAUGAAAGUCUUAAUACCCUGAACUCUCUCACCACAGACAUUAUGAUGAAUUAUGUCUGCAGAAUAUUGUGAUAUCUUACUUGUUUAAUGAUCUACACAAGGUUCUGGUUGGCCCAUCAUAAUUAGUGUGGAUAAAGGUAUCCAGUAGAAAAAAUGAGAGAGGGAUUAAAAUCUUACAUAAAAGCUAACCAUCCACAGUUACAUUUGUAACCAGAGAACAAUAACUAUGUACAUAUAAAAGUCCAGAAGGUAAUCGUCAUUUUUCCUGCCCGUGUACAGAGAGCACGUCUGGAAAUCAUUGUCUUAAAGGCAUGGACUGCUAAUCAACUAUCUCCAGUAGUGUGGAAUCCAGUGCAGUGUUAAAAAGACUAUAAAGGAUGUCUUGGAGACCAAGCUGCUUGGUGUAACACACGAAGGCCUUCUUCUCAUUGGGAGGGACAGAAAUCCACUUCAAACUUCUUGAUAAUACAUCAAAAUGGCUCUUACUUCAUCUAAUUCUGUCACAAACUUAGCCAUCACAGAUUCUUUUUCAAUUAUCUGCAAAAGAUAAAUCCUUAUAUGGUACUGUGUCUGACGUGGGACUAAAUUUCUCUAAGUUAGUUUGAGAAAUCUCUAAGCAAAACCAUUAUGUAGUCAUGAUCAAACCUCAUCAAUCACAAAAAAUCAUUAAGCUGAACUUGAAGACCCUUAGGAUAACCUGAAAUAGAUGGUUCCAGAAAAUAAUAGUGAUAGACAUGGAAUUACAAUAACAAUAUUACUAAUUAAACGACAAUAAUUGUUAUUAUUAUAAAAGACCACCAACAAGAUUUUCAUUUCUCAGUACGUCAUUUCAUGCUCAAUAUUAAAAUUCAGUCUUGUUCUAUUACUAAGAUAAUGUUCCAUUAAUGAGAUAAUAUUCUAUUUUCUCAAUCAAGAUGAAAUGAGGAUUUAUAAGGCAAACUAAAUGAAUUUCAGAUGUUUCUCUUUUUACAUCUCAUCUUGGCUCAUUUAUAUCGUAGACACACACAUUUGCGAAGAACCCUGAGGCUCUUAGCAGCUUUCCUCCUAGGCACAUUGACAUUUCACGGGACCCUGGAGAGAUUACACAGUGAGGAAGACAAUCAUUCUCGUCCGGCCUGGGCACCUGCUGCAGUACGGUCACCUGGUCUGGCUCCAUCGAAGCAGAAGGAAAGGAAGAUUUCACUCUGAGAGGGAAUAUAAGAGUCUGGGUGUCGUACCCACAUGUUUAUGUGAAAUGAGAUUGGUGAGAGGCUCAGAAUCCCAGCUCCGGCCAGUGCAACAAGCAAAGAAAGCAGGGGUCAGCGGGCUGCCAGCUCCCUCCAGGAGGGGACUCCCCUCUUAGCCUCCAGGCAUCGAUGAAGACCAGCUUCUCUUGCUGCUGUGAUGCUGCUCCACCUGCCCAGCUGUAUUGAGGGACUGUUAUUUCCAAGCAGUGAUGUACAAUCGUCAGAGCAAUAAAUAAUAUAUACUGGAUUACAAAA